AUUGAACGCUGGCGGCAGGAAUAACACAUGCAAGUCGAACGAGUGGCGGACGGGUGAGUAAUGUCUGGGAAAAUGCGUGAUGGAGGGGGAUAACUACUGGAAACGGUAGCUAAUACGGAAUAAAAUCAGAUGAGCCAAGAUGGGAUUAGCUAGUUGGUGGGGUAACGGCUCACCAAGGAGACGAUCCCUAGCUGGUAUGAGAGGAUGACCAGCCACACUGUAACUGAGCCGCGGUCCAGACUCCUACGGGAGGCAGCAGUGGGGAAUAUUGCACAAUGGGCGCAAGCCUGAUGCAGCCAUGCCGCGUGUAUGAAGAAUGCCUUCGGGUUGUAAAGUACUUUCAGCGGGGAGGCGUUACCCGCAGAAGAAGCACCGGCUAACUCCGUGCCAGCCGCCGCGGUAAUAC
rnacentral:rRNA from 1 species